CAAACCCUACAGCCGCCGCCCAAAUCCCUCCAAACCCUACAGCUGCCACACCCAAAUCCACCGAAUCCUCCUCUGCUGCUCAGCCAUCCCGCCGCCACCGCUUCCUCUCCACCAGGAUUAGCUCCACAACCGCUGCCUGGACGUUCCCUUUCGGCUACGACUGCAUCCUCUCCGUCAAUGUCGCCACAGAAGAAGCGGAAAAGGCAAUCGAAGAAGGGAAGACCAACAAGCAAGUUUCGAGGUCAAGUGUGCCUCCUCCUUCCUGUAUUUUGGAGGCUCCCAUGACUGCCUAUGAGCUUCAACGAAUGAGAAAUUGCCUCCUCAACAAUGCCCACAUGCGACGACUUGGACUACCUGUAGUAUCUAACCUGUUCGCAAAUGUAGAUGUUCCCCUAGAAAAAGAGAAGGACAAGAACCAACAAGAUUCUGGUUCUGAGUACAAUGGACAGGAUGAGGAUAACAAUCAGGCCAUUCAAGUGAUGCAAGCCUAGACCCUGAUUUUGGAGCUUUUAUAGCUAUCCUGUCCUUGUUUAAUUUUUUACAACUUGAAAAUAUGUACAGGUUCAGAUCAUGUGACAAUACGUUCCAAUUUUGCAUAAAUCUUGACACUUGUGUUAGUACGUACUGCUUGAUUAGGCGCUUCAGGUUCACAAGUUGCAUCUGUCACUUAAUUUCUUUACUAGUUAUUUAUGUUCCGAAUAAAUGUAUUCAUCACCAGCCUUUGAAAUUGUCCUUGCUUUCUAUUCAUUUUUAGGCAAACAAGUACCAAAGUGAGCCACAAAAAGCAUUGGAUUUAUUUAAAGAGUUACACUACAGCAAGAAGAAAGGAUUCAGUAAUGCAGUUCAGUCAGUUAUUGUGGAAAUGGAGGACAAGAUAAAUGGUACUGUAGGUGAUGGUGAGGAAUCAAUAGAUGUGACUGAUGUUGUGUCUGAAGUUCUUGUUAAAAAAACUAAGAAGAACAGAUUUCUGGUAAAUGUGGGGAUGAAAAGCUUACCUGAUGCUGACAAUGUUGAAAGCCAGCGUGAACUUGAAGCUGAAUUGGUGGUGGAGAGGCAGACAACCAAUGAUCUUAGGCAGAUUGUGAGAACUCAGCAGCAGCAAAUGGAUGAAAUGGUGAAGAGGUUUCAAGAAUCAGAAGCAACAAGGGCUAGGCAGGAAGAGGAGUUGAAGAAAAAGCAAGCUGAGACUGACGCACUAAUUAAGGGAUUGAUGUCCAUGAUUCCAGGAAGUCUACCGACAAGGUGAGGUUGUGUUGGGGUUACUAGCUGCAGCACCUGUGGCGGUGGCUGUGUAUUUUGAUUGUCGAUGGUCAUUUGGGUGGUCGGUGACCUGAUGCAAUGUCGGGCUGUCAACUGUUUGUGGCUGCAUGAUCUAUGAACUGUUUGUUGCUGCAUGACCUGUGAACUGCCGACCUUUGAUCUUGUGUCAUGAUUUGGUCUUUUGGGUUACUAGCUGCAUGGCCUGUGAUCCUGUAUCAUGAUUCAGUCUUUUGGGUUACUAGCUGCAGCAGCUAUAGCAGUGCUGUUGUUUAAACUUGUGCCAUGUAAAGCUGUUGUGCUGUUGUUUAAACUUGUGCCAUGUACUGGGAACUUUUGAUCUGUAAGCUGCAGAUCUGUAAGAUGCGGCAGCUAGCUGUUUGAACUUGUGCCAUGUGCUGGCAACAUUUAAAUGUAACUGAUAUGUGAUAAUUUAUGGCAAUGAAACCUCUAUUUAUUAUAUUAUUAUUAUA